CUGUCUCACUCCGCGCUAACAUUGUCUAUUUUCUGUUUCUUUCAUUGCCUGCAUCUGUGUGAAGGACAUCCAAAAAAUGCUCCCGCACUGUUAUGAUUUAUUAUAUGGGGCUUGUAAACCCAUUCCUGAAAUUCACGGGAGCGAAUUGGCAUUAGUAGGAAAUGCUAUUCAAAUGAAAUAACAGGAAAGUGUUACUAGCUGCCCUAGGAAAUGAAUACCAUUAGCAUAUCUUCAGCUAAGUACUGACAUGUGGCUAUCCAGCUUGGAAACAAUGUUGCAAAUAAUCCCAGACCCCAUUUAUCGUGCUAGAGCAACAUGUAGACAUACCGUUAUCUAUCAUCACUUAACAGAUGAGCUAGCACCAACAUCUCUUUGAACUUUGUAUUCUGUAAUGUAGCAUGCUAUAACCUAUGAAUACUGCAUACCCCUCCGUCACUUUCUCAAGCGUCAUUCUCAUUUACCGAGAAGUCAAACGUACUCGACUUUUACUAAAUACAACAACAACAACAACAACAACAAAGCUUUUUUGUCCCAAGCACGUUGAGGUAGGCUAGAGAUGACCCCGUAUGAAAACCUCAGAGCUCAACCCUCAAAGAAAAGAAAAGGGAGACAAAUGCAAAGGAGAACCGAAAAACGACGAAACGGAGAAACACAUAAAAAGAGAUAAAACCAACAAGAACCAGCAAGAUCUAAAGGGGCACAAGAAAAGGUCAAACGAUUAAAGAGUAAAAGUGAAACUACAAAUCAGUACAAAUCAUAGUCACACUUAAAAGAGCACGGAGGGCGUAGGUUGCUAACACAAGCAUAGGGAAAUUUUAGAUAAAGAAUGGCUGUGGCAACACGAAUCUACGAAUAUGAAUAUUAGCCAGAACAUAUGUCCCUGCUUAUGUGCUUUAUGCCGCCAAUGUUCACUAUGAUCUUUCCUCAAACAACUUCUGCUAUGAUCUCCAAAUAUUUCUCUGUCAGCACUCAGUACACUACUUCACUAGCUCUAUAUGGAUCAUCUUAAAAUUAGCAUCCUAACUCUUAGCACUUACUAGCAACAUUGACCUUCUAUUUUUUUUCUUGUAACUAGCAUACCUCCCAGUAGACGGACUGUUUGGAUUCAUACUCCUAAUUUUUAGUUGCUAUGAGCAGCAUAGAGGAUACCAAGUAGGGCAUGUUUGGAUCCAUGUUGCUAAUAGCUAGCAACUAAAAAUUAGUAGACCAAGAUCCAAAUAGGUGUGCUAGCUAAUAGAAAGAAUUAGCAAGAUCGAUGUUGCUAGCAAGUGCUAAAAGAGUUAUGAAUAGCACACUAAUUUUGGCAGGAUCCAUAAAUACCCUAGUACGACCUAUUAACUGCUAAUUCCUUCAACUUUGUAACUCAUUUAAUACAGGCAAAGCUCAUCCACUUUCAUAACAGCCAAAUAUGCAUUUCUCCUUUCUAAAUUUUACAAAACUUUAGACAAAGUUGUUGAGGUGUGUUAGCAACUACAUGCCAGUUGCCAUACAAUGCUACCAGCCGUGCAAUUCUUAGAUUUCAGAGUUCAAGCUCUAAUUUGGCUAAUGUAAAUUUAGCACCAACCAAAAUUUAUAAACGUUUAGGGGAGUGUUUGGAAGCAAAGCAUUUUUGGAGUUUUGAGAUUACUAUGGUAUUUUUUACCAAGAGGUGCUUGGCUAGCUUGUAAAAACUCUGUUUUGAAUACAGUGGUUUAAUAGUUACCAUGGUAUUUUUGGAGUAUUUGAAACUUAACUCCAAUCCAAAGUUUUUUACUAUGACUAACUUUUGGCUCAUGGAUACUAAAUACCAUGAUUUGAAAUGUUGUUGUAUUGUUUGGAGUGAUGUACAAAAUACUACAGUUAUGUCAUGACGUUUUAAAAUCAUAGUAUUCUAGAACCAUAGUUUUGAAAUACUUUACUUCCAAACAUGUCCUUAGUAGCAUCAUAAAAAUGUGUACUUCAAUCGAGCAUACUUCGCACAUGAGGGGGCAUUGGAAGUUGGUGAAAUUUGAGUAUACUUAUCUCGUUUUCUUGCCAUAGUUCAUUUCAAUCUCAUAGUCAAUUCGCCUUAUCUACACCACUAAUUGUCCAGCUCCAACUAACCAUGAACGAUACCUAUCUAGGUAAUAAAAAUAUCCAGAAAUGUCAAACCAUUUUCACGAUUUAGAGCAACUCAGCUUUUCUAUACCUCCCUAAUUGCUAGGAAUGUAUAUUUCAGUAAAAAAUAUUUCAACAGUUUCUUUGAAUAGUUGUUCAAAUAGACUUCUGUUCUGAGACAUCAUCUGUCCUGGAUUUCUCGCAAGCCAAAAUUAAAAA
rnacentral:lncRNA from 1 species